CCUGAAACUGGAGAAUUUCCACUUUUACGGUUAAUUAAGCCCCAACGACAUGCCAGACGGAUGAUACAAAGAUGAGUGAGAAAGUGACCCUUUCGAGGAGCUCACGAUCUGAUUCGGAAGAAAGGGGUUGACUUGCAAAAUUAAAAUAUAUACGUGCUCUGUGCUGUAAGGAAGUACUGGGGAGCACAGAAGAGGGAACGGCUCUGUAUCAGCGAGAUCUGAAAGCGCUUGUAGGUUUCUUUUAAAGAAUAAUAUACUGCAGAUUGGUUAUUCAUUCUGUAUCAUCUUGCACUUUGGAAAAGAAAAAGACAUGCCGAUCUCACAACAACAAAGAUAAGUUCAUCGGUGCCUUGUAAUCUGCAUUGAGAAUGUUGAACAGUAUUUACAGGCUUUAUAAGUCAUGUUUCUUUCUGUUCAGUAACUUAAUCUUAAAAGGAGACACAAUUUUACAAGUCAUAACUUUUCUCAACAAGUCCCACUUGAAAAAGACAUACCCAAAGGUCAAAACCUUUGCUCUAUUCAGGGCGACGAAAGGUAACGAUUAUCCCCAAUGUUUAUUCCUCAAAUACACAGUUUAUUCUCCGAAUUUACAAGUGCCUUUACUUUAUCUCUUAGUUCUCACCUCUCGGAACUGAAAUUUUCAUUAUUUUUGUUUCUCACGACAUCAUAGUGUUCAUCUAGUGUCUUAAACUCCACAUGCCCCAAACUAAAAUUAAGAGUUCCGCUCCUGCUCUGCCUCCUGACACACAGGGACACCGACAAAAGCCUCGUCUUUCCUUUCUUCCUAUUCACUGCGAUCUUUAAAGUCACGACUCUGGAAUCAUCCAAGACUCUUCUUUCUCUUCCCCCACGAUCCGCACAUCCCUAGGUCCCAGUAUUCUAAGUAUCUCUUAAAUCGUUUCUUUCCAUCCCCCUCUACCUAGGUCAGCUUCUAACCACCCCUCACCUGGACCUUUGCAACAGUUUUUUAACUAGUUUCCCCGCCGUUGAUUCUCAACUUGCGAUUCAUCCUUUACACCAGAGGGAGGUUUCUGAAACCUAAGUUCGUGUUAUUGCUUUGCUUAAAACUCCUUAAGGCGCAACGUAAUGGAAAAAAGUAUUUUCUUCCUCGGGUACCACCUUCGUGAUUCUUUAAAGACUCUCUUUCUUCAAUUAGCUUCAUCCUAAGCAACGACAUUUGUGAAGUCGCAAGUAUGAUGUGUUCUUAUGUUCUUUUGUAAUAUGCAUUUCAAGAUAGAUACAUUCUCUUUGUGCUGUCUAAAAUCAUCUUUCAUAUGGGCCUUUUGAAAUAUUGACCGAGAAGAUGAGAUCUAACCCCUUGGUUAAGGCUGGAGAGCCUCUGCAGUGGGAUGCUCCUGCUUUUCCAUCCACAUCUGGCUGCUGUUCUGUUUGCAUCUUCUAUCCUAAAAUUGAAAUCCUGGCAGUUCCCCCAUCAUGUCUUAGGAUUGUUUCAUCUUUCUACCCCUUUGCUUGGAGCAGCCCUCCCGUUCUCUCCUGAGUGAACUUUUAUCCUUUAGAAAUCACUCCUCUUUUUGAAGUUUUCCCUGAAAGUCAGUCCUUCUGCGUCUGUAUCUACUUCUGUUGUAGCAUUUCCCACAGCCAAGGCUGCAGGCGCUUGAAAGCGGGGCCUAAGUCUUCGCUCUUUGCCUCACCCGUUCCUGGCACAGAACCAGGGCACAUAGUAGAGCUAAAAAAGUUUGCUAGUUAGCUGAAUCCCAGACUUCUAAAGUUCAAAUCAGGUUGGAGAGCCCACAGUCCAGGGAGUCAUUCUAAUACGUAAACAUCUUCAAUUAUUUCUAUGACAGUGAUCCGUAAAAGGACCCUGGAACAGAUCGAUCCUAGAGUUUUCUAUUUAAGAUGAGAGCUAUGGAUGCGAUAAGCCCGAAUUCACAAUGCCAAAGCUUACGCAGCCUAUUCUACGUCUCAGUUGACAUGGCUUGGUCGAUACAUAGGAAUUUGUGACAAAUCGUGUUGUUUCUGUUAAAAUACUUCCAGGAUUGGUGUACUUUCAAAGCUAUCUGAUUGAAACUGGAUUCUAAGGAAAUAAUCCAAAAUAGAGGAAAAAGCUGUAGUUGUAACGUUCCAAUGAACAUUUUCAUCGAGAGCAGCAAAAGAUUGAAAACAAAUGUCCAACUUCAGUGGUUCAGUAAAAGAUAGUACAUACGUUUGUUUAAAGGACUGUUUUUCUGCUGUCGAGAAAGCGAACACAAUAAUUUUAAGGGCUGAAGCAAAAAGGAAAAUUCUAUUCCUUAUUGAGAUGACGACAAGUAUGUUAAGAACAAUGACAUUUUCCAAAACUCGGAGGAACUACAUCACAGUGUUCUUGUUGGUCAUAGUAAGACGGAGAGAUAAUGGAGGUGGUUUUCUUCUGAGAAGGACUUUGGUCUCUCCAACCCCAGCUGGAGCGAGGACCUCAGGCAUCUCUUCCACCAGUUCAUGAAGAAAUGUGAGGAUGGCUCCUGGACGCAGAUUUCUGAGAAAGAUACGCUAGAUUUUUAUAAGAAAGCCUCCGAACUCUCCUUUCAGAGUAAGAACAGCCGCUCUCCCAUAAAGGAUAUUUAAAUAUCAAACGUAAAACUAACAGAUCGAAGCACUACUUACCAUUCGAAAAAGGAAGGCACGUGGCACCAGGGUUUCUGGACAGGCCAGGCAGAUCCGUGAAUUUUGCAGAUAAAGCCUCCUGCCGAGGAGACCACUGGCCACUGCUCUGUCUUGGCGCCAUAUUCAGUAAUCUCACUUUACCGUUGAUCCCGAUAUGGGGCUCUGUCACCUGAGGAAGCUCAGGACACUCAGGUCACCCCCUUCUCUCCCAGACUCAUAACUCCCAAAGCAACCUACCGCUCCUCCAACAGACAUGGUCCUUCCCGUGCUCUUGCGUGUGUGACCCUUUUAAUUGAGACUUUAGUUCUCGUGUACCCCCAGCCCCCAGCCCCCACCUCCCGCCUCCUGUUAUUAACACCACGCAUUAGCGUAGUGCAUUUGUUAUAUUUGAUGAGCCAGUAUCAAUACAUGAUUAUUAACCACGUAAUAAAGUCCGUAUUUUACUUAGGGUUUACUCUU